rnacentral:lncRNA from 1 species
AACGGCUUUUAGUGCCUCUAAUUCAAACUCUUCAACGGUGUUAACAAGUACUUUAGGGUUGGUUUCUUCAUAUAGAACUUGAAUUUGUUCUUUGAAAGAUUGAGUAGCGAUAGUGUAUAUAUUUGAAGAUAAUAAAAAAGAGGGAAGGUCACGGCUUUCAAGAGAGAAUGACAAUCCUGGUAAUGAUAUUGAACAUGUUUCAUCCUUUGAUUUGUUUGUGACGUAGUCACCAUGCUCAUGAAAGUAAUAAUAGUAGAUAUCAAAAACUGUUGCAGCUUGAAUCCAUAAUAGCGCUGAUGGGAGGUGAAGCUCACGUGCCACCUUUGCGACCCAAGGAAUGAUGAUACCGUAGGCUAAGCAAGUGAAUGGACGACCUUCCUGUUUGCCGGAGAGUAUGAUAUUUGUGAGAAAUUCCGAGCAGCGGCGCUUAAGCUCAUACUCGUAGGUGACAAAGUCUUCGUUGCUUUCGAAUUUUGGGCCAUCGUCGUGGCCGUCAGAGAAGGUGGCGAAGGAAAGGCCCGAGAUGGUUGAUUUGUUGGUAAGGCGAGUGUGUAAGUAGAUAGUGGUAGCAAAAGUGACUUGUGCGCCCAAAGAAAUGAGACGUUUGGCGAAUUGGAGAGCAGGGUUUAUGUGACCGUGUAGUGGGUAUGUGAUGAUGAGGAAGUGGUGGUUUUGCGCCAUGGUAGUGGUGGCUUGUGAAAAUGCAAUAGCACGAACCAGUAGAGUAAAGGAAGUGUGAUAUGCAACGGUUAUGAAUGUAUAUGGAUGGAUAGCAUAAGCUAAGUGUUUUUAUACAAGUGGUGUCCAUGCUGACGUUCGGGAUGACCAAGUUCUGUGGGGUACUCAUCCAUAAGCAUGUUUUUCUACAACUCAUUUAUCUCUUGAUCCUUGUUAAUAGUUUUUCUUAGAAUCUUUUUACAUCCAGUCCUACCGUUGAUGAUCUGACUCCACUCCACCUGAUCUACUCUCCUAACCACAUAAUAUACAAGUCUUCUCUCAACAUGUCUAAAUCAUCUAAGUCUAAUUUCUACCAUUUUUCUACCAUAAGUGAUACCCAAUUUUAUCUUUAACGUCGUCAUUUGUAAUUAUAUCUCAUUUAACCUUAUCAUAUAUCCAACGGCCAAUGCAACAUUUUAAUUGAAUCUUAAGAUAGAUUGUGUUUAACUCUUGACAAUUUUUUUUUUUGCAAUGCAACAUUUUGAUUUAAUUUUAAGAUAGAUUGCGCCCACCUCUUUAAAAAAAAUCCAUUUACGGUUCAUCAUAUAUUUUUUUUUAGUAAACCACUAAAUUGGUUCAUGUCUUUAUAAGCUACUCUCAAAUUUAUCACGGACUCUAUUAAUAUUUCAAACUAGUCUCCAUCUUUAUCAAAAGUUUCUCAAUUUGAUCAUUAUCUUUAUGUUUUUGUCACAUCACGAGGAAUCUAAUUAAAAAGUUUUUGACAAAAUAAGGACUAAUUUAAAAUAGGAGAAUGUUAAUGAGUUCCCUUGAGAUAUUGGUUAAAGUGUUAAAAUUAGUUAUUUUGCAUCAAAAAGUGGUGUGAUUAUUGCUAAGACAAAUGUAAAAGUAUAUAAGACAAAAUUUCUAUUAGUAGAUUUCUUAAUCAAUGUCUUUCGAACACGGUUAGUAAGACCCAUUAAAAUAUCAAUAGAGACAAAUACGUAUUUAAGGAUGAUUUACAAAGACGAUGACUAAUUUAGUGAUUUAUUCAAAAAAAAUUAUGCAAGACGAGGCACCAACACUCAUGAUGUUAGUUUUAUUUUACUAAACCGAUACUCGUGACAAAUUUUUUUUUUUUACAAAACCGACACUCAUGAUAUACUUCAUUUCAAGCUAUCACCAUUGAAUGAAAUAUGACAAGCUAAUCAAGACAGCGGGACAGGGGUUGGUCCUUCCAUACCUGCCUUAUAGGGUUAGUUAUUAAUGUUAAUUAAGAACGUGGAACAGGGUUGGUCAAUCCAUCCCCACCUCGUAAGGUCAUUAGUUACACAGUUAAUCAAAAUAAACAAGAGGGUUUUUUUUUUUUUUCUUUCUUUUUUAUAUUAUUUUUGUCAAAUAAUUUUAAUAACUAGAAAAAUCCAUCUGUUAAAUGAAUAAGUUAUAAAUUUACGAUUUGAAUUCAACCACCGCAUAUAAAAUGCGACGUUUCUAUCAAUUGAUCAUAUCUGCCAAGUUAAAUAAGGGUGUUUAAAUUUAUACAUAUAAUUUUUUUUUUUGAAUAUUACCGAAUUUCUUUAAAUCUUGUUGUGGUCCAAUCAAAUUUAAUAAAUAAAUUGCAUUUUAUUAUAUGCAUUAAAUAUGACAACAACAACAAUUUAUUGUGAUGCAUUGCGAUGAAAAUGACAACAACAAGCAUUACAACCAUCAAAAGCAUUACAUCUAAAGCCAAAUUAAGCCCUCUAAGCCAAAGAGUUUGAAACUAAUUUGAAGGAUGGAACACACCAAUUGCAGCAACUAACAUAACAACAAAACUACAACAACAACAUGGCCUAAAUCGUCCAUAUCGUGAAGCUUAAAAUCCAAUCGAACAAAGCCCACUAAAGAUGGUGGCGUGGACUGUUGAGACAAAGAUGUUUCACUUUAAACCCUUAAUGGGUUAUGAAGUAAUUCGAACCGACGAAAAUCCAAUUUCACAAAACAAACGAAAGUCAUAUAGGAAAAGAGGUGGAUCGGAUCAGAUGAAUGAGCAGAAGCUGGCAAGAAAUCCCUAAGGAGGAGAAUAAUAAUGAACCCACAUGUGAGAAAAAUAACUCCAAAAAAACCCACAAGGAACCCAGAUGUGAGAUACAUCAUACCUAGAAACGUUAAAAAAUGAAGAAUACUGACAUAGUUUGUGCUCACAUGAAAACAUAGAGUAAAUCAGCCACCAAACAAAGAUACAUUUAGAAAUGACGUCAUCGACGAUGAGGCUUGAGGGUUAAUUGUUAGGAAAUAACAGGGCUAGCUGAAGAAGAAAAAAAUAAACACAAUCACAAACACAAGAAUAUAACGUGGAAACUCCAAAACCGAAGACAAAACUACGACCAUUGUUCUCUAACCCCAAUGCCCCAGUACACCCACACUCUCACAAAGCAAAUAUUUAACCUAAGUCAGAUAUAAGCUUAAAGUGCUACUGACUGGUGCAUCUAAAAACAAAGAAACUAGAUUCAAUAUAUAGCCUUGGUCUUCACCUUGCUUCACUAAACUAAGCGAUGUGGAAUAUAGUCACCAAUAACUAAUAUUUUCUAACCUCCUUCUUUAUUCAAGAAACUUGACAAUCAAACCCAACAUUAAUAACACCACCACAAAGCCGUGGCUCUAUCAGUAACAAGUGUUUUAAAUUUUGGGUGGAGAGGAUGGUAGUGGGCAGCGACAGUGAAGUGUGAUAGUGUAAAUUAACUUUUAAUUAAAUUUAAAAUAAUUUUUUUAUUAAAUUUUUAUAAGUACGUUGAUUCCCCGUGCUUAACACAAGUAUCAUACUACUUAGUUAGGCACAGAUUAUUUUACACUAAUGAGUUGAUACUUUGCAUAAUGUCUACGUAGCCCUUGUUAGGCACGGUUCAGAUUAAUGUACCUUGAGAUUGCAAGUUUGAAUCUACUUGGAGAUAUUCAUAUUUGAGUCAGCCUUUAGCAUAGUAAUGGUGAUAUGAUUUUUUAACGAAUUUAAAUUUCCCUGGUGAAUAUUGGCUCCGUAUUGUUUCUCCCUCUUCUAAAUAAUUAAUAAUACCAAUUGCAUAAUCAUAUAUCACACCAUGUUUUAAAAGCUUUCUUGUUACAAACAACAUUUUCCAACUGGAAACAUUUUGGAUUUUGACCUAGACAAAUAACAUUAUUGGGAGACAUUCUAAUUAACAUAGUUUUAGUUUUUCCUUCUUUAAAAUUAACAUUCCACUAGUUGGAUAUAUAGCUAAAAUCAGAGGGAAAUAAGUGCUAACUAAUUUUCACUUAUACAGCCAAUGUCAUCUAGAAAUUUGCUCAGAUUCUUAUUCGAAGACCCUCCUUCCUUCAUAGCUUCACUAGCCAAACUCUUCCAUUUCUUAGCAUUCCUUCUAAGUUCCUCUCCUUUUUCUCCCUUCCCCAUCACCACUUCCAAACACUUCAUAAUUUCCCCAGCUUUCACUAUACCUGCUUCCUCAUCACGUUCCACCCUCAACCCAGUCUUCCACAAAUCUUCAAUUAACUUUGCAUUAGUAGUUUGAUCUGUCCACUGGGGAAAUGCUACCAUAGGAACCCCUGAACCCAAACUUUCCAAAGUCGAAUUCCAUCCACAAUGCGUCAUAAAACAACCCAAAGAACGGUGCGACAAAACCUCCACCUGACUACACCAUUUCACUAUCUUCCCAUUAACAUUCCUCUCAAGUUCCUCUCUACAACUUAACUCAUCACUAUCACCCUCCUCUUCUUUUUGUUGCAUAACUUUUUCAUCUCUAAUUACCCACAAGAAAUAAAAUCCAGAAUCCAACAACGCACGUCCAAUUUCCUCCAUUUGUCUCUUGGACAAAAUAGCAAGAGUACCAAAUGAAACAUAAACCACAGACGAUUCAUCCUUUGAAUCCAACCAUUCAAAGUAAUUAUCUUCUGAUUCAACAUCGACAACACCACCACCAGACGAAGUAUCAUUAGGAUCUUUACCGCCCAAGAAAGCAUAUGGAAUCAAUGGUCCGAUUGGUAUCAUUUUGAUCUUACCAACAUCAACGGCUUUUAGUGCCUCUAAUUCAAACUCUUCAACGGUGUUAACAAGUACUGUAGGGUUGGUUUCUUCAUCUAGAACUUGAAUUUGUUCUUUGAAAGAUCGAGUAGCGAUAGUAUAUAUAUUUGAAGAUAAUAAAAAAGAGGGAAGGUCACGGCUUUCAAGAGAGAAUGACAAUCCUGGUAAUGAUAUUGAACAUGUUUCAUCCUUUGAUUUGUUUGUGAUGUAGUCACCAUGUUCAUGAAAGUAAUAAUAGUAGAUAUCAAAAACCGUUGCAGCUUGAAUCCAUAAUAGCGCUGAUGGGAGGUGAAGCUCAC